rnacentral:rRNA from 1 species
CCUACGGGGGGCAGCAGUGGGGAAUAUUGGACAAUGGGGGGAACCCUGAUCCAGCCAUGCCGCGUGUGUGAAGAAGGCCCGCGGGUUGUAAAGCACUUUCAGUGAGGAAGAACGCCUGGUGGUUAAUACCCAUCAGGAAAGACAUCACUCACAGAAGAAGCACCGGCUAACUCCGUGCCAGCAGCCGCGGUAAUACGGAGGGUGCGAGCGUUAAUCGGAAUUACUGGGCGUAAAGCGCGCGUAGGUGGCUUGAUAAGCCGGUUGUGAAAGCCCCGGGCUCAACCUGGGAACGGCAUCCGGAACUGUCAAGCUAGAGUGCAGGAGAGGAAGGUAGAAUUCCCGGUGUAGCGGUGAAAUGCGUAGAGAUCGGGAGGAAUACCAGUGGCGAAGGCGGCCUUCUGGACUGACACUGACACUGAGGUGCGAAAGCGUGGGUAGCAAACAGGAUUAGAUACCCGGGUAGUC